CUGCACGCGAGUGCGAUAAGGGGACUCCAGGUGCGAGGGCAUAUAGUCCUCGCUUUCUCGACCGUAGGGAGGUCGAGGAACAAGUGCUGGGCAAGACCGGUGCCAGCCGCCGCGGUAAUACCGGCAGCACAAGUGAUGACCGCUGUUAUUGGGCUAAAGCGUCCGUAGCUGGCCAGACAAGUUCAUCGGGAAAUCUGUGCGCCUAACGCACAGGCGUCCGGUGGAAACUGCCUGGCUUGGGACCGGAAGACCUGAGGGGUACGUCUGGGGUAGGAGUGAAAUCCCGUAAUCCUGGACGGACCACCGGUGGCGAAAGCGCCUCAGGAAGACGGAUCCGACGGUGAGGGACGAAAGCUCGGGUCACGAACCGGAUUAGAUACCCGGGUAGUCCGAGCUGUAAACGAUGUCUGCUAGGUGUGACACAGGCUACGAGCCUGUGUUGUGCCGUAGGGAAGCCGUGAAGCAGACCGCCUGGGAAGUACGUCCGCAAGGAUGAAACUUAAAGGAAUUGGCGGGGGAGCACUACAACCGGAGGAGCCUGCGGUUUAAUUGGACUCAACGCCGGACAUCUCACCAGCAUCGACAGUGUGCAGUGACAGUCAGUGUGAUGAGCUUACUUGAGCCACUGAGAGGAGGUGCAUGGCCGCCGUCAGCUCGUACCGUGAGGCGUCCUGUUAAGUCAGGCAACGAGCGAGACCCGCACCCUUAAUUGCCAGCAACACCCUUGUGGUGGUUGGGUACAUUAAGAGGACUGCCAGUGCCAAACUGGAGGAAGGAACGGGCAACGGUAGGUCAGUAUGCCCCGAAUGUGCUGGGCGACACGCGGGCUACAAUGGUCGAGACAGUGGGAUGCAACGCCGAAAGGCGACGCUAAUCUCCGAAACUCGAUCGUAGUUCGGAUUGAGGGCUGAAACUCGCCCUCAUGAAGCUGGAUUCGGUAGUAAUCGCGCCUCAGAAGGGCGCGGUGAAUACGUCCCUGCUCCUUGCACACACCGCCCGUCAAAGCACCCGAGUGGGGUCCGGAUGAGGCCCGGUUCCGGGUCGAAUCUGCCC
rnacentral:rRNA from 1 species